rnacentral:rRNA from 1 species
UUGGUGUCCUAGAGACAUCAGUGAUGCAGUUAACACAUUAAACAUUCCGCCUGGGGAGUACGGUCGCAAGAUUAAAACUCAAAGGAAUAGACGGGGACCCGCACAAGUGGUGGAGCAUGUGGUUUAAUUCGAAGAUACGCGAAGAACCUUACCUAGCCUUGACAUAUUAUAGAAGACACCAGAGAUGGAGUUGUGCCUUCGGGAGCUAUAUUACAGGUGCUGCACGGCUGUCGUCAGCUCGUGUCGUGAGAUGUUGGGUUAAGUCCCGCAACGAGCGCAACCCUCGUCACUAGUUACUAACGAUUCGGUCGAGGACUCUAGUGAGACUGCCUUCGUAAGGAGGAGGAAGGUGAGGACGACGUCAAGUCAUCAUGGCCCUUACGGCUAGGGCAACACACGUGCUACAAUGGUUAGGACAAUGAGAGGCGAUACCGCGAGGUGGAGCAAAUCUAUAAACCUAAUCUCAGUUCGGAUUGUAGUCUGCAACUCGACUACAUGAAGCUGGAAUCACUAGUAAUCGUAGAUCAGCUAUGCUACGGUGAAUACGUUCCCGGGUCUUGUACUCACCGCCCGUCACACCAUGGGAGUUGAUUUCACCCGAAGCGGGGAAGCUAAACUGGCUACCCUCCACGGUGGAAUUAGCGACUGGGGUGAAGUCGUAACAAGGUA